rnacentral:rRNA from 1 species
UACGUAGGCAGCGAGCGUUGUUCGGAGUUACUGGGCGUAAAGAGUGCGUAGGCGGUUUUCUAAGUUUGGUGUGAAAUCUCCCGGCUUAACUGGGAGGGUGCGCCGAAAACUGGAAGGCUUGAGUAUGGGAGAGGUAAGCGGAAUUCCUGGUGUAGCGGUGAAAUGCGUAGAUAUCAGGAGGAACACCGGUGGCGAAGGCGGGUCGCUGGGCCGAUACUGACGCUGAGGAGCGAAAGCGUGGGGAGCGAACAGG